rnacentral:tRNA from 1 species
GAGAGAGGUUCGACUACAUCCAAGACUGCUAAUCUUAGUCCCCCAGGUUUAACUCCAGGGCUCCCUC